GUCGGUGUAGUAUAGUGGUUAGUACUUCUCGUUGUGGUUUCACAGGGUUUCACCCCCUUGUCACUUCGGCUCCGAGAGGACCCAUGUUCGAUUCAUGGCACCGACA
rnacentral:tRNA from 1 species